GGUUGGUUAGCUCAGUUGGUUAGAGCGUCGUAUGUCACCUCCAGUUCAAAUCUUCUCAACUUCACCGUCACUAACCAACCACAGGUACUAAUACAGAAUUCUGCUGUAUCAAGUAAUGCGAAGGUCAUGAGUUCGACCCUCAUACUGACCA